CUACGGGCGGCUCCAGUGGGGAAUAUUGCACACUGGAGGAAACUCUGAUGCAUCCACUCCGCGUGGAGGAUGACACUUUUCGGAGCGUAAACUCCUUUUAUAUAGGAAGAAGAUGACGGUACUAUAUGAAUAAGCGCCGGCUAACUCCGUGCCAGCAGCCGCGGUAAUACGGAGGGCGCAAGCGUUACUCGGAAUCACUGGGCGUAAAGAGCGUGUAGGCGGAUUAAAAAGUCAGAAGUGAAAUCCUAUAGCUUAACUAUAGAACUGCUUCUGAAACUCUUAAUCUAGAAUAUGGGAGAGGUAGAUGGAAUUUCUGGUGUAGGGGUAAAAUCCGUAGAGAUCAGAAGGAAUACCGAUUGCGAAGGCGAUCUACUAGAACAUUAUUGACGCUGAGACGCGAAAGCGUGGGGAGCAAACAGGAUUAGAUACCCUCGUAGUC
rnacentral:rRNA from 1 species